rnacentral:rRNA from 1 species
AUUCGAUUAGAGUUUGAUCAUGGCUCAGAACGUACGCUGGCGGCACGCCUAACACAUGCAAGUCGAACGAAGUAGCAAUACUUAGUGGCAGACGGGUGAGUAACAUGUAGGUAUCUACCCUUUGGCCUGGAAUAACACGAGGAAACUUGUGCUAAUACUGGAUAAGUCUUUACGGAGAAAGCUUUAUGCACCAUUGGAUGAGCCUGCACUUGAUUAGUUUGUUGGUGGGGUAAUGGCCUACCAAGACUGUGAUCAAUAGCUGAUUUGAGAGGAUGAUCAGCCACAUUGGGACUGAGACACGGCCCAAACUCCUACGGGAGGCAGCAGUGGGGAAUCUUGCACAAUGGAGGAAACUCUGAUGCAGCGAUGCCGCGUGAGUGAAGAAGGCCCUUGGGUUGUAAAGCUCUUUCGUCGGGGAAGAAAAUGACUGUACCCGAAUAAGAAGGUCCGGCUAACUUCGUGCCAGCAGCCGCGGUAAUACGAAGGGACCUAGCGUAGUUCGGAAUUACUGGGCUUAAAGAGUUCGUAGGUGGUUGAAAAAGUUGGUGGUGAAAUCCCAGAGCUUAACUCUGGAACUGCCAUCAAAACUUUUCAGCUAGAGUUUGAUAGAGGAAAGCAGAAUUUCUAGUGUAGAGGUGAAAUUCGUAGAUAUUAGAAAGAAUACCAAUUGCGAAGGCAGCUUUCUGGAUCAUUACUGACACUGAGGAACGAAAGCAUGGGUAGCGAAGAGGAUUAGAUACCCUCGUAGUCCAUGCCGUAAACGAUGUGUGUUAGACGUUGGAAAUUUAUUUUCAGUGUCGCAGCGAAAGCGAUAAACACACCGCCUGGGGAGUACGACCGCAAGGUUAAAACUCAAAUGAAUUGACGGGGACCCGCACAAGUAGUGGAGCAUGUGGUUUAAUUCGAAGAUACGCGCAGAACCUUACCAACACUUGACAUGUUCGUCGCGACUUUAAGAGAUUAAAGUUUUCGGUUCGGCCGGACGAAACACAGGUGCUGCAUGGCUGUCGCCAGCUCGUGUCGUGAGAUGUUGGGUUAAGUCCCGCAACGAGCGCAACCCUCACUUUUAGUUGCCAUCAUUAAGUUGGGCACUCUGAAAGAACUGCCAGUGAUAAGCUGGAGGAAGGUGGGGAUGACGUCAAGUCCUCAUGGCCCUUACGUGUUGGGCUACACACGUGCUACAAUGGUAUCUACAACAGGAAGCGAAACAGCGAUGUUAAGCAAAUCCUUAAAAGAUACCUCAGUUCGGAUUGCACUCUGCAACUCGAGUGCAUGAAGCUGGAAUUACUAGUAAUCGUGGAUCAGCGUGCCACGGUGAAUGCGUUCCCGGGUUCUUGUACACACCGCCCGUAUC